GGCAGCGUGGCUCUGUGGAAAGAGCACGGGCUUUGGAGUCAGAGGACAUGGGUUCGAAUCCCAGCUCUGCCA
rnacentral:tRNA from 1 species